rnacentral:rRNA from 1 species
AUUGAACGCUGGCGGCAUGCCUUACACAUGCCAGUCGAACGGUAACGGGCCUUCGGGUGCCGACGAGUGGCGAACGGGUGAGUAAUACAUCGGAACGUGCCCGAUCGUGGGGGAUAACGAGGCGAAAGCUUUGCUAAUACCUCAUACGAUCUACGGAUGAAAGCAGGGGACCGCAAGGCCUUGCGCGGACGGAGCGGCCGAUGGCAGAUUAGGUAGUUGGUGGGAUAAAAGCUUACCAAGCCGACGAUCUGUAGCUGGUCUGAGAGGAUGAUCAGCCACACUGGGACUGAGACACGGCCCAGACUCCUACGGGAGGCAGCAGUGGGGAAUUUUGGACAAUGGGCGCAAGCCUGAUCCAGCCAUGCCGCGUGCAGGAUGAAGGCCUUCGGGUUGUAAACUGCUUUUGUACGGAACGAAAAGCCUUCUUUUAAUACAGGAGGGUCAUGACGGUACCGUAAGAAUAAGCACCGGCUAACUACGUG